UCUGCGAUUAAGCUAAUUUCUUAAUCUGCAGCAACCUUGAAAUAUCAACUCACGCAAUAACUUUAAACUAUAUUUGCCCCUGUCAUCGCCUCUAGAGAUCAGUAACAUUUUCUAAUCUGAUUCUCUGCAAGAACAAACCAGCCCAAAAAAAGGAAGCUUCAAACAAUAUGUUUUAUGACCCGAAUAAUAAAUUUAAAUGCAGUUUAAAAGUGCAUCUGCUUUGGACUCAAGUCCGGCCAGUGAUGUUUUUCUAGAUAAAGGCUAUCUGUUCGAGAAGUCUGUUCAGUAGUACAUUUGCGCUCGAGGUGAAGAGGCGUUUCAAAAAACAGGAGUUACAAUCGGAAAAAUUCUUAAACUUUUCUUAAAUAUUAUUCUAAACGGGUGAAAUUGGUUUGGUGCAGUGAGUGGGACCAUGGAGGAAAAGUGGAGAAUUUUUCGUUUGUUGUUGUGGAAGAAUUAUUUGAUUCGAAAGAGACAUUGGAAAGUGGCACUUUUUCUUCAAAUUUUGCUGCCCGUGUGUAUACUUCUGCUUUUGCAAAAAAUCAGAUCGGCACCUUGGGUUCGAAAAGAAAACGAAAAUGUUACAUAUUAUCCUAUAGAGACGAUGACGAAGGAAAGUCUUUUAGAAUUUGAUGAAGUUCGUCUCUAUUAUGCACCAGAAAAUAAUUUCACUAGGAAACUGAUGAAGCAAACCACACAGUGUCUCUCGAUUCAGCCUGCGAAUGUCACUGGAUUUCCUUCAGAAGAAGAAAUGUUGAAAAAGCAUUCUUUUGAUAACGGUUAUGAUUUUCAUGCUAAAAUUCUUGCCAUCAUAUUUCAUUAUGAUGAAUACGCUUCUGAUAAAUACCUUGAUUAUACCCUGAGAUCUUCUUACGACACUCCAACUAAUGUAUUAGGAGGUGUUUUCCGAGGUUAUAAUUAUUAUUAUGUUAAAUACAUUUUUGUGAGGAUUAUUCCAUACGUGCAAACACAAAUAUGCAUCGAUGAAGCUUUUAUUAAUAUGUCAGCUCCACAUGCUUCAUUUACGCGCAAGGUAACUCUACAACGGAUGCCUACGCGAAGAAACGCAAAACUAAACUCAGGUGACGAAGCAUCCAGAGUAAUGUUUUCUAUAACAGCUGUUGGAAUUUUUUUUGUAACAUUGUGCUUGGAAGCUUAUUUUUCUGCAAGCGAAAAGUAUAUAGGAGUCAACAUUCUAAUGGCGCUAAAUGGAUUAAAGUUUCAUAUGAACUUAUGCAGCUGGUUCGUGAGUGGUAUUUUAUAUAGCUUGUUUUAUACAACGACAAUAAUAAUAGUGAUGUCAGAAGCUUUUAACAACCCAAUUCUGCUUUAUGGAAAUUCAUUUAUUAUUUGGAUAUUUCUAUUUUUCCACGUUGCGCAUCUAAUUGCCUUUGGAAUGCAUAUCGCUUCUUACUUCUCAAAAUCUCUAACAAUGAUCAUUAUUCUUCUGAUCCUGUAUGGAGGAACUUCUUUGUUUCAAGCAUAUUUAAUAGAUAGUUUUAUAUAUUCAAUUAUACCAUACUUGGGAAUUUUUUUCCCCAACAUAUUGUUAUUUAGAAUGUUUCAAGAAAUGAACAUCUACGAAACACUGGUGAUGGGAGUUCAGUGGAGCAACAUGUUUCAAAUCGCUGAUUCCUCUUAUUCAGCUGCUGGCAGCAUCGGUAUCAUGAUAAUAUUUUCUAUUAUCGGUACUGUUCUACAUUUCUUUUUAUGUGUUCACAUUCACACGAUAUUUCCUGGAAAAUUCGGUAUUCAAAAACACCCACUCUACUUUUUACAGAAAGAAGCAAAGGUCUAUGCGGAAUUAGAUGAAGAAUUGGACGAAUUUAAUUACACUAACGACGCGGGAAAACCUUUUGAAAAAACGCCCAAGGGGAUCUUUACUCCUAGUAUACAAAUUCGCAAUAUUAAAAGAUCCUACACAACGGAUUUCUUAAAUAAAAAUACACAGGAAGCAUUAAAUGGAAUUUCCAUUGAUAUUUACAAAGGCCAAAUUACAACUGUGCUAGGCCACAAUGGGUCUGGAAAAACUACAAUGAUGUCUAUAUUAGCAGGUUUAUCCAGUCCUACCGAGGGAGUAGUACUUAUAGAUGGGAAAAGUAUAGAUGACUUUUUUAGAACUUUCUCGUCAGAUUUAAAUUUCUGUCCACAAGAAAAUAUGUUUUUUCCCUAUCUGACUGUGAUAGAACAAAUGGAAUUUUUCGGAAGGCUCAAAUGUAUAAACAAACCUGAGAGUGAACUAAAAAUUUUGUCUUUUCACAUCGACAAUUUAUUGAGAAAACUAAAAAUUUUUGACAAACGGAACUCUUCUCCUGGGGAAUUGUCCAUAAGUCAGCAAAGAAGAUUGUGUCUUGGCUUGUGUUUAAUAGCAAAUAAUGCCAAAAUUUUACUUUUCGAUGAGCCCACUUCUGGAAUGGAUGCUGAAAGCAAAAGGGAUACUUGGAAUAUGUUACUGGAAAUGCGAGGCGAAAAAACCAUCUUGAUCUGUACCCAGGACACAGAGGAAGCUGACAUACUUAGUGACAAGAUCGCCAUUCUUCAUUUGGGAAGGUUAAAAGGCUAUGGAACCCCAAUCUUUUUGAAGAAACUAUACGGUCAAGGAAAUAUCGAAGUCACAUUAUCGAUAACCACAUAUUGUGACACAGAAAUGGUUAGAAAACAACUGAGCAAAGAAGCUGAGCUUCUAAGAUUAGAAGAUGAAACAAUGGUUUUAUGUGUUCCAUACACAGACCAGUUAGCAGAAUCUUUAGAUGAAAUCGAAAGUAGAAAACGCGAGCUUGGCGUGUCUGCUGUAAACGUGUCUCUAAUUACGUUAGAACAAGUUUUUCUAAAGGUGACAAAAAAGGAGGAAGAUAUUGAUUUCACUCGGCCUUUCAUAAACCUAUCAUAUAGGUCGAAAGACUAUGAACUGUUAUUGCAAACUAUAUAUGCAUUAUUUGAGAAGAAUUUCAUAAAUGCCAGAAGAAGCUGGAGUAUACUUCUCUCUAUUAUGCUACUGCCGUUGAUAAGUAUUCUACUGAUGACACUGAAUUACUCUUCUCUUAAUGAGACGCGCGAGUCUAGAUCCUUAGACCUUGGUCUCUACAAUAAUCCGCAAGUUAUGCUUUCUACAAAUAAUGAAACUCUGCGCAACAAACUGAAAUUAUUGGCUGCUAGGGCUGGUGGGACCGUGGUUGACAUAAAUUCAAACCAGAAUCUACGGAAUGAAAUUCUGCAAUUUUCGGAAAAGGCUGUUUUUACAUUCCGAAAUCACCUGAUAACAGCCAUAGAGUUCAACACAACCGAAAAAUCAGUGAACGCUAAUGCUCUUUAUUCAGAAACCGCAUUAUUCAGCAUUCCUAUAGGAGUUAACUUAAUGUCAAAUGUUAUGAUAAAAUCAUUAGCAGGAGAUGAUUACCAUAUCCAUGUAUCAGAUCAAUUGCUUCCAAAACUCAGAACAUAUUUUCAGUACGAAUUAGUUGCACUAACCCUUUUACUUAUAUGCUUUCUCUAUCCGGCUGUGGCACUUUAUGUGCUUCAUCCAGCGAAAGAAGUCUCUUCUGGCGUUAAACACCUUCAAAUAAUGGCAGGAAUUUCUCCUAUAACAUACUGGGGUACUCAAUUUGUUUUUGACUUGUUUGUCUUCUUCAUUUCGGUAAUGUUUUGUUUGAUUGGGUUUCGCUUGAUGGAUCAGGCAGUCGACCUGGGGCUUUUCCAUGCAACCGAAUUAGCUGUUAUGGCGCUGCUACUUAUGUUGUUUGCUGUUAAUGUUCUACCACUUGUGUACAUAUUCAGUUUCGCGAAGAUGUCAAAGACUGCUCUCGUUACUCUUUUGAGCCUUGUACCUAUGAUUUUUCUCGCUAUUGAAGGACUAUCAUUGCUCAUAGAUUGGGAAUCGCGUCCCUUUUGUGUUCCUAAUGAAACCUGUGUAAGAAAUCCAUCUGCUUUUCUCACAUUCAGAGCGAUACAAAAGAGAAUAUUUCAACUUAUCCCACAUAUCAGUCUCUUUCACGGACAGAUUUCUUUUCUCACCACAGGAAUUGGAAAUGCCCACUGCCGAUAUUUGGCAAGCCAUCAAUUGGAUCGAUUGAAUGAACCUUUUUGUGAAGACCUGGAUUGUGUCAAUGGAACCUGUCACAAAAGCAUACCCUUCUUCAAAAGAGAUGCCAGAAUUAUGGAUGCGGAUGUAGCAUUGUAUGAAAGCGUUGCAUAUUUAUCCUUGACUCCAGUCAUAUACUUUGCUAUUUUAGCUGCAAUAGAACUCAAUCUAUUGCAAAGAGUGUUGGCGAGAUUGCUGAAUAAAAAGCCAAUAGUAAGCAACGAGGAAGUAGAUGAUCAAGUGCGGGAAGAGAAAUACUCCGUGGGAUUCGAAAUAAAUAAAUUAAAGUCCGAGAAAGCUUCCAAAAAAGCCAACAAGUUGAUGUCAGAUACUAUAAUUCUGCGUGAAAAUACAUUCUUAGUGCAUGAAUUAAGUAAAUGUUACAAAUCAAAGCCAAUUGUAUCAGACGUUAGUUUUUCCGUCAAAUCUGGCGAAUGCUUUGGAUUACUUGGUGUAAAUGGUGCAGGGAAAAGUACCACUUUUAGAAUGCUCACUGGCGAAGAACUUCCAAAUAGAGGUGACAUGUUUUUAAGAGGAAAAGACAUAUUCACUGAAAGAAGUGAGUAUCUUUCAAAAAUGGGUUAUUGUCCUCAAAAUGCAGCUCUAAUUGAUUCACUAAAUGUGAGAGACCAUCUGAGAUUAUUUGCAUUAAUUCGAGGAGUGCCAAAACAUCAAGUAGGCUCUGAGGUUGAAGAGUGGAUUAAUAGGCUUAAUUUGAGUGAAUGCGCUUCUCUACCAAGCGAGACAUAUAGUAUAGGAAACAAAAGAUGUUUAAACAUUGCAAUGGCUUUUAUUGGUCACCCUGAUUUGGUACUAUUGGAUGAGCCCACGACUGGGAUUGAUCCAGCCUCUCGAAAAUCACUUUGGAAUAUGAUUAAAUCAUUUCUAAGGGCCGGGCAAUCUGCUAUACUUACAUCACAGAGUAUGGAAGAAUGUGAAGCCUUGUGUAACCGACUAGCCAUAAUGUCAAAAGGUCGUCUUGUCUGUAUUGGACCAAGUCAAGAAUUGAAAGAACGUUUUGGCGAUGGAUAUAAUAUCCAUAUAGAAUUAAACCUUGAACGAACACAAGCUGAAGCGGAAGCUAUAAAAGCUGAUAUUGAAAAUGCUUUAAAUUGUGAACUUGGAGACGAACAUGUGGGAUAUAUGACCUUCUAUGUCACUAAUUCUAAAACACCAUGGAAAACAAUGUAUGAGUUGAUGAAUGGGUUGAAAUCUAAAUAUCCCUGUAUAAUAGAUUUCACCAUACUUUCAGCUACCUUGGAACAAGUGUUUCUGCGAUUCGCUAAAGCUGAUAGUAAUUAGUUCCUUUUUUUGCAAUAAUGUAUUGGUCGAAAAAAGAGAUGUACGUUUUAAAAUGGAAUGUUAAUUUCAGAUGUUUAUGUUUUCGCAUAAUAUUACGAAAGUCGAAAUGGAACUUGUAAGAGAAAGCUAGAUACCGCCCAGCCAAGCUGAGCGAGCCAUGACAAGGACAACACUACCGCUUCACGCCCGCGGUCGCAAGAUCUCCAGCGAUAGAUAAUAAGAAAAGUAACUACGCGGAACAAUAGCUUCAGCGAUAAGAAUCGAACCACAGAACUCCCGAUUGUCGUUAGGGUGCUUUUCCCUUAAGCUACUAAAGAGAUCGAAAGCAGAAUCCUUUUCCAGAAAAAAGGUAAUUUAAACAAAAUAAUUCAAAUCAGAGCUCUAU